GUUCAGAUAGCUCAGUUGGUGGAACUUGAGACUCUUAAUCUCAGGGUUGUGGGUUCAAGCCCCAUGUUGGACA